rnacentral:rRNA from 1 species
UGCGGUUAUACAAAAAUUAAAUUGAAUUUUUUUAGGAUUUAAUGAUUAAAUAUUUAGUUAAUAAUUUAAAUUUUAAGUUAUAAGGUGAAAUUUUAACUUAAAUAAAUUUUAUUUUUUUUUAUGAUAUUAAUAAAUUUUAUUAAAAACUAGGAUUAGAUACCCUACUAUAAAAAUUUAAAUUUUAUAAUCUUAAAAUAGUAUAUAAUUUUUUAUAGAAACUUAAAUAAUUUGGCGGUAUUUUAGUUCAUUUAGAGGAAUCUGUCUAAUAAUUGAUAAUCCACGAUUAAAUUUACUUAACUUAUAAUUUUGUAUAUCGUUGUUAAAAAAAUAUUUUUAAAUAAUUAUAAUAUUUUAAAAUUUAAACAUAAAUUUAAAUCAGAUCAAGAUGCAGAUUAUAGUUAAGAAUAUGAUGGAUUACAAUAAGUUUUAUUUUUGAAUAUUAAUUUGAAAUAAAUUAAUUGAAAUUGGAUUUAAAUGUAAUUUUAUUUAUUUAGUUAAAAUGAUUAAUAAUUAAAAUAUGUACAUAUUGCCCGUCGCUUUCAUUUAUAAGUUGAAAUAAGUCGUAACAAAGUAGAGGUACUGGAAAGUGUUUCUAGAAAGAU